AGAGUUUGAUCCUGGCUCAGACGCUACAAAUGCUUCGGAUCUGAGUAGAGUGGCGAACGGGUGAAUUCUACAUAUCUCUCCCAUACUCAAGCGGGGGAUAACGUCCAGUAUCAGACGCUAGUACCGCAUGACGUCCCAGGUUUAAAGACCUGGAAACCAAAGCCGGGGACCGCAAGGCCUGGCGCUUGAAGAGGACCGCACGUCUGACUAGCUAGUUGGCGGGGUAAUGGCCCACCAAGGCGACGAUCGGUAGCCGGGGUGAGAGGGCGGACGGCCACACUGGAACUGAGACNCGCCCUUUACGCCUACGGGAGGCAGCAGUGGGGAAAAGUUCACAAUGGGCGCAAGCCNAACAACGCUAUGCCACGUGGGGGAUGAAGGUGUCUGUAUUGUAAAGGGCGGCUGCAUGGCACAGAGUUAGCCGNGAGCUGCUCAUCCUUGGAGUAACGGUACCGUCAAAGGAAGCCACGAAUAACUCUGUGCCAGCAGCCGCGGUAAUACAGAGAUGGCAAGCGUUGUUCGGAAUUACUGGGCGUAAAGGGCGCGUAGGCGGCCAUCUAAGUCAGACGUGAAAUUAUUCGGCUUAACCCGGGUCUUUCGUCCCAUUCUGGACGGCUUGAGUAUGGGACAGGGGUUUACAAUCCGAGGUGUAGCGGUGAAAUGCGUAGACCUUUGGGUAGCGGUGAAAUGCGUAGA
rnacentral:rRNA from 1 species